UGCAGUCGACGGCAGCGCGGGCUUCGGCCUGGCGGCGAGUGGCGAACGGGUGAGUAAUAUAUCGGAACGUACCCAGGAGUGGGGGAUAACGCAGCGAAAGCUGCGCUAAUACCGCAUACGAUCUAUGGAUGAAAGCGGGGGAUCGCAAGACCUCGUGCUCAUGGAGCGGCCGAUAUCUGAUUAGCUAGUUGGUGAGGUAAAGGCUCACCAAGGCGACGAUCAGUAGCUGGUCUGAGAGGACGACCAGCCACACUGGAACUGAGACACGGUCCAGACUCCUACGGGAGGCAGCAGUGGGGAAUUUUGGACAAUGGGGGCAACCCUGAUCCAGCAAUGCCGCGUGAGUGAAGAAGGCCUUCGGGUUGUAAAGCUCUUUUGUCAGGGAAGAAACGGGACUGGCUAAUAUCCAGUCCUAAUGACGGUACCUGAAGAAUAAGCACCGGCUAACUACGUGCCAGCAGCCGCGGUAAUACGUAGGGUGCAAGCGUUAAUCGGAAUUACUGGGCGUAAAGCGUGCGCAGGCGGUUUUGUAAGUCUGACGUGAAAUCCCCGGGCUUAACCUGGGAAUUGCGUUGGAGACUGCAAGGCUGGAGUCUGGCAGAGGGGGGUAGAAUUCCACGUGUAGCAGUGAAAUGCGUAGAGAUGUGGAGGAACACCGAUGGCGAAGGCAGCCCCCUGGGUCAAGACUGACGCUCAUGCACGAAAGCGUGGGGAGCAAACAGGAUUAGAUACCCUGGUAGUCCACGCCCUAAACGAUGUCUACUAGUUGUCGGGAAUUAAUUUUCUUGGUAACGCAGCUAACGCGUGAAGUAGACCGCCUGGGGAGUACGGUCGCAAGAUUAAAACUCA
rnacentral:rRNA from 1 species